GCUGAUUACAUAAUGAGCAUCCUAGUGCCUGAGCUAGGUGAGAGGGGAAGUCCAAUGCGACUAAAAGAAAAUGCCAUCACAAACUUCUUCCAGGACGUUCUGAAAGACCUUGAAAUAACAGGUCAGAAUGAAAACCAGGGGAUGUGUGAGCCUUUGACCCGAGAAGCACCAUAAAGUCAGAAUGAAGGAUGUCUGGAACAACAAAUAAAACAAAUUUGUUCAGUGAACGAUUAACUAUUUUGUAUAAAUCUUAGAUAAUUGUGAAGUCAAUCAACAAAACAGUCACAUAAAAAAAUUGUGUCUGUUCCCCCAUAGCAUUUUGGUUCUUGUAAUUGACCUCAGUUGUCCUGAAAAUUUACAAAACGUGUAUUUUAGGACAAUUGUUUCCAGAUAAGAUUGAAAAGUAAUUUAAGAACUUGACAAGCAUUAAACUGCAAGUGCGAUGCUCAGUUUAUGUUCCUCAGAUCGGUGUGCUUUCAAAUAGUUUCCACAGAUGUAGUACUUUGUCAUUCAAAUGUAAUAUCUUUUCUGUGGAAUUUGGAGUUCUUUACUAGUAUAUUCCUAUUAAAUGGAAGGCAAGAUUCACUUGAUUGAUUUCAGUUUCUGGUUGAUGUUGACAGUUUUUGAAAUAAACCUCAAUCUGA